AACGAACGCUGGCGGCAUGCCUAACACAUGCAAGUCGAACGAGACCUUCGGGUCUGGUGGCGCACGGGUGCGUAACGCGUGGGAACCUGCCCUUAGGUUCGGAAUAACUCCCCGAAAGGGGUGCUAAUACCGGCUAAUGUCUUCGGACCAAAGAUUUGUCGCCUUUGGAUGGGCCCGCGUUGGAUUAGCUAGUUGGUAGGGUAAAAGCCUACCAAGGCGACGAUCCAUAGCUGGUCUGAGAGGAAGAUCAGCCACACUGGGACUGAGACACGGCCCAGAAUCCUACGGGAGGCAGCAGUGGGGAAUAUUGGACAAUGGGCGAAAGCCUGAACCAGCAAGGACGCGUAAGUGAUGAAGGCCGUAGGGUUGUAAAGCUCUUUUAUCCGGGAUUAUAAUGACAGUACCGGGAGAAUAAGCACCGGCUAACUCCGUG
rnacentral:rRNA from 1 species